rnacentral:rRNA from 1 species
UACGUAGGGUCCGAGCGUUGUCCGGAAUUACUGGGCGUAAAGAGCUCGUAGGUGGUUUUGUCGCGUUGUUCGUGAAAACUCACAGCUCAACUGUGGGCGUGCGGGCGAUACGGGCAGACUUGAGUACUGCAGGGGGAGACUGGAAUUCCUGGUGUAGCGGUGGAAUGCGCAGAUAUCAGGAGGAACACCGGUGGCGAAGGCGGGUCUCUGGGCAGUAACUGACGCUGAGGAGCGAAAGCGUGGGUAGCAAACAGG